rnacentral:rRNA from 1 species
CUGCCUACGGGCGGCCGCAGUGCGGCCUCUUGGUCCAUGGGCGGCCGCCUGAACCCGCCAAGUCGCGUGAGGGAAUAAGGCCCUACGGGUCGUAAACCUCUUUUGCCGGGGAGCAAGGGCCGGGACGAGUCCCGGUCCGGAGAGUACCCGGAGAAAAAGCAUCGGCUAACUCCGUGCCAGCAGCCGCGGUAAUACGGAGGAUGCGAGCGUUAUCCGGAUUUAUUGGGUUUAAAGGGUGCGUAGGCGGGCUCUUAAGUCAGCGGUAAAAAUUCGGGGCUCAACCCCGUCCGGCCGUUGAAACUGGG